rnacentral:rRNA from 1 species
GAUGAACGCUGGCGGCGUGCCUAAUACAUGCAAGUCGAGCGAACGGACGAGAAGCUUGCUUUUCUGAUGUUAGCGGCGGACGGGUGAGUAACACGUGGAUAACCUACCUAUAAGACUGGGAUAACUUCGGGAAACCGGAGCUAAUACCGGAUAAUAUUUUGAACCGCAUGGUUCAAAAGUGAAAGACGGUCUUGCUGUCACUUAUAGAUGGAUCCGCGCUGCAUUAGCUAGUUGGUAAGGUAACGGCUUAACAAGGCAACGAUGCAUAGCCGACCUGAGAGGGUGAUCGGCCACACUGGAACUGAGACACGGUCCAGACUCCUACGGGAGGCAGCAGUAGGGAAUCUUCCGCAAUGGGCGAAAGCCUGACGGAGCAACGCCGCGUGAGUGAUGAAGGUCUUCGGAUCGUAAAACUCUGUUAUUAGGGAAGAACAUAUGUGUAAGUAACUGUGCACAUCUUGACGGUACCUAAUCAGAAAGCCACGGCUAACUACGUG